rnacentral:rRNA from 1 species
CCUCCACUCAGGCAAGAUUACGCUGUGAACUAAAGCAUUUCAGUAACAGCAGGAAAAGAAAAUAACAAUGAUUCCCUCAGUAACUGCGAGUGAAGUGGGAAGCGUCCAACGUUGAAAGCUGCAUUCUUAGCUGAGUGUUGCAUUGUAACGUUAGGAGUUGUAGUUAAGUGGUCGUCUGGUAUCUAAGUUGCAUAGAAUAGCGCGCCAGAGAGGGUGAUUGCCCCGUCGCUGAUACUAGUUACACAGCCACAAAUAUUGCAGCUCUAAGAGUCGGACUGUUUGGGAAUGCAGUCUAAAUCGGGUGGUAAACUCCAUCUAAGACUAAAUAUUACUCCGAGACCGAUAGCGCACAAGUACCGUGAGGGAAAGUUGAAAAGCACUCUGAAAAGAAAGUGAAAAGUACGUGAAACCGUUAAUGGGGAAGCGGACGAUAGAAUCAAAACACUAUCAAAGGCGCGGAUGUUCCGUCCACGUUGUAACAGAUAGUGGGUGCCGGUCUUAUUGUUGAUUACUUUGUAAUAUUGUUAGUUUAGCUUUUUUGAUUUUCUUGAUGAGAUUUUUGAGGUUAAGUGACCRGUUGAUUACUUUGUAAAUUAAUAAUGUUGAUGUAUCCGACGCCGCAAUUGUACAAUGGUUUUAGGUAUAAAUUGCCUCUAGUAAAACUAGAGAAUGUUUGUAAAUAUGUAUUGUGCAGUCGCGGCGUCAACCGAUGGGUGUAUGCAUAGUCCGGCGAGAUAUGCUAUUGUCCGACCCGUCUUGAAACACGGACCAAGGAGGCUAACGUAUACGCUAGUCAGGGAGUGGCAAACUCUUAGGCACAAUGAAAGUAUAAUGUGAGAUCCGCUGGUUAGCACCAGCGGCGCAUCACACACCUGUUGGAAAUUAGACUACAAUAGAGUGAGAGCGUAUGCGAUAGGACCCGAAAGAUGGUGACCUAUGCCUGAGUAGAGCGAACUCAUUGGAAACAAUGAUGGAGGCUCGUAGCGSKUYYGACGUGSAAAUCGAUCGKCWWRCWUGSSURYAGUGKCGAUMGAYUMAUCGAACCAUCUAGUAGCUGGUUCCCUCCGAAAUAUCCCUCAGGAUCGCCGGAGCUCGUGACAGUUUCAUCGGGUAGAGCUAAUGUUUAGAGGUAUUGGGAUCAUAUAUGGUCUCAACCUAUUCACAAACUGCGAACCGGUGAUAAGUCGUAAAAGCACAGUACAGUUACUUAAUUGAAUCGACGGCUGUGUCUUGAUUGAAUGUGUGAGCUCCGAGUGGGCCGUUUUUGGUAAGCAGAACUGGCGACGCGGGAUGAACCGAGUGCUGGGUUAAGGUGCCCAAGUGUAGGCAAACGGACACCAUAAAAGGAGUUGGUAGAUGAUAACAGUAGGACCGUGGCCCUGAAAGUAGGCAUCGGCUAAGAAGUGUGCAACAACAUACCUACCGAAUCUACUGGCCCUGAAAAUGGAUGGCGCUUUAGCCUACCACCGAUACCCAGCCAUGAAUGCGAGUAAUGYUUCAUUCAUGGGUAGGAGGGUGCUACGGUUGCGGCGAAGAUUGCACGUGAGUGUGAUUGGAGCAGCCGUAGGUACAGAUCUUGGUUUUAGUAGCAGCGUAUAGAAGUGAGAACCUUCUAGGCCGAAGUGGAGAAGGGUUCCUCGUGAACAGCAGUUGGACGAGGGUUAGUCGRUCCUKAGAARYMKCUAGMSSAYMCSCKGGWAMSGAGMUGUUUUGUGUUUAGUACGUUUUCGUACAAUACAUCGUCUCAGUCUGCGAAAGGGAAUCAGGUUAAUAUUCCUGAACCAGGCUUCGGAUAUCCCGCAGUCGAGAGUCGGUAUGAGACUGGGGCGGCGAGUUAUACUAUCCGUCCCCGAGGAGUGCCGAAAGGAGAUUGCGGGUAAAGCGGUAACGCAAACAAACUCGGAGACAUCUUUGACAAUCCUGGGAAGAGAUUUCUUUUCUGUUUAACCAGACGGACAUGAGCCUGGAAUAGAGUCAUUCGGAGAUAGGCUUGACGUUUGGGAAGAGCGUAGCAUUUGGUUACGUCCGGUGUAUUGCCAAAGGUCCUUGAAAAUCCGAGGGCGUGAAUAAUUGUCGAGCCUGACCGUACCGAGAACCGCAUCAGGUCUCCAAGGUGAAUAGCCUCUGGCUUUAGAAUAAUGUGGGUAAGGGAAGUCGGCAAAAUAGAUUCGUAACUUCGGGAUAAGGAUUGGCUCUAAGGAUUGAGCUACUUGGACCCAAUACGAGUGAUUGUGCUUGUUUACAGACGAGUCGCUAAUGUUGGUAGGUUGUUUACUCAGCUCGCCAGUUAGUUGAUUUGUUAGUGGACACUGUAACUACCUGUGUUUGGUUUGUAGUGCAGCGAGUGGUCAAUAUCUUUGGUUGCUCGCGGUAUUACCUCGCAAGUAGCUAAGAUCAAUCAACUUAGAACUGUCACUAACUAGGGGAAUCCGACUGUUUAAUUAAAACAAAGCAUUGCGAUGGCUGGAAACGGUGUUGACGCAAUGUGAAUUCUGCCCAG